GACAUUUGUUUGAAUACUGAAUUGGUGACACUAAUCUUGGGUGCCCACCUUCAAACUGUGGUGAUUGUACAGAUCUCCGGUGCUGUCGGGUUGAAGAAGUUGUGUCAAGAAUCCAUGUUUUGCCAAAACAUACACUUAAUACCUUCUUU